rnacentral:rRNA from 1 species
GACGGAGGAUGCAAGCGUUAUCCGGAAUUAUUGGGCGUAAAGCGUCCGCAGGUGGACAUACAAGUCUGCUGUCAAAGUGCAGAGCUUAACUCUGUAAAGGCGGUGGAAACUGUAGGUCUUGAGUAUGGUAGGGGUAGAGGGAAUUCCCGGUGUAGCGGUGAAAUGCGUAGAUAUCAGGAGGAACACCAAUGGCGAAGGCAGCUCGCUGGGACGUGACUGACGCUGAGACGCGAAAGCGUGGGGAGCAAACAGG